AGUGAACGCUGGCGGUAGGCCUAACACAUGCAAGUCGAACGAGUGGCGGACGGGUGAGUAAUAUAUGGGAAUCUACUCGGUCGUGGGGGAUAACGAAUGGAAACGUAGGCUAAUACCGCAUACGAUCGAAUGAGCCCAUGUGGGAUUAGCUAGUUGGGGGGGUAAAGGCCCACCUAGGCGACGAGCCGUAGCUGGUCUGAGAGGAUGAUCAGCCACACUGGAACUGAGACACGGUCCAGACUCCUACGGGAGGCAGCAGUGGGGAAUAGUGGACAAUGGGCGCAAGCCUGAUCCAGCCAUACCGCGUGGGUGAAGAAGGCCUUCGGGUUGUAAAGUCCUUUUAGUGGGAAAGCGGUACCCAAAGAAUAAGCACCGGCUAACUACGUGCCAGCAGCCGCGGUAAUAC
rnacentral:rRNA from 1 species